AGAGUUUGAUCCUGGCUCAGGACGAACGCUGGCGGCGUGCCUAAUACAUGCAAGUCGAGCGAAUGACGAGGAGCUUGCUCCUCUGAUUUAGCGGCGGACGGGUGAGUAACACGUGGGCAACCUGCCCUGUAGACCGGAAUAACCUCGGGAAACCGGAGCUAAUACCGAAUGAUACCGAGAGGUCAAAGGAGCAAUUCGCUCUAGGAGGGGGUCGCGGCUGAUUAGCUAGUUGGUAGGGUAAUGGCCUACCAAGGCGACGAUCAGUAUCCGGCCUGAGAGGGCGCACGGACACACUGGAACUGAAACACGGUCCAGACUCCUACGGGAGGCAGCAGUGGGGAAUUUUGCACAAUGGGGGAAACCCUGAUGCAGCAACGCCGCGUGGAGGAUGAAGGUCUUUGGAUUGUAAACUCCUUUCGAUCGGGACGAUUAUGACGGUACCGGAAGAAGAAGCACCGGCUAACUCUGUGCCAGCAGCCGCGGUAAUACAGAGGGUGCAAGCGUUGUUCGGAAUUAUUGGGCGUAAAGGGCGCGUAGGCGGUGCGGUAAGUCUGUGGUGAAAUCUCCUGGCUCAACUGGGAGGCUGCCAUGGAAACUGCCGUGCUUGAGUGUGGGAGAGGUGAGUGGAAUUCCCGGUGUAGCGGUGAAGUGCGUAGAUAUCGGGAGGAACACCUGUGGCGAAAGCGGCUCACUGGACCACAACUGACGCUGAGGCGCGAAAGCUAGGGGAGCAAACAGGAUUAGAUACCCUGGUAGUCCUAGCCCUAAACGAUGAUCGCUUGGUGUAGCAGGUACCCAAUC
rnacentral:rRNA from 1 species